GUCGCCGCCGCCCUCAUUCGCUGUGUGAACGCUCUUCGUGCACGGCGGGGAAAUGAGCCCCGUGAGCGCAGGGGUCUUCCCCGAAGUUUCUGCAUUUUGCUGUCCCGCUGCUGCUCUGAGCAUCGCGAUCCGCGCGAAGUGGAAUGUGCUUCGAACAAGUGAACGCCAGUCUUUACCAUGCGUUUUCCAAAUCGCAAGCUUUUCUUUUUUGUGUGUGUGUAUGUGUGGUUAUUUUUGUGUUAUGGAUUGCAUCUUCGUGUUUUUUGUUACUUUUUGCAUCCUAGAGGCAUAAAUACAAGAAUUAUAUCUGUAGCAUAUAUAGAGGUCCGAAUGCAAUGUACACAACCAUUAGGGCAGUUCACAGUUAGGAGAAGGGCUGAAGCAUUGCCCAAAGAGGUAAAAUGCACUAAGAGAGAAGUCUGCUUUGUUUUAUAUGUUCUUAAAUGUUCUUCUGGUUGCCUUCCCAUGCUGCACUCUCUUCCAUAUGCUCUCUACACCCACCAACACACCCACCUACACACACACAAUUUACCAACAUACUUUAUGGCUUUGCUGAAUUGAGAUCCACACCACCAUUCAAAUAAGAUAAAACAAACAGCUGUUUUCUUUCUGCAGAACGAGCAUAUUCUGACUUGGCACUUGUGAAGCAUCUGAAAGAAGAUGCUUCUUGAAGAAGUUGACAGAAAUGUCUUACACCAGCGCAGUGUAACGCUGCAUGGAAGGCCCAGGUCUGAAGUAUGCUCACCUGGGUGUGCUGAGGAGCAUUGGGACAAUUUCCAGAGGGAUCUGGCAGGUAUGCAAACCACAGUACUGUAUCCUAGGUUACUGAGAUGCCAGAGGAGGCACCCAUGGAAUCUCCAGGCCUGAAUGUGUAGUCAAAGUAGCAUCAACAGGGUAUGACAGAAGUCCAUUGUGGAUGUUUAUUUCAAGACCUCCCUUUUUGCUAGAGAAUUACAAUCCCAAGAAAAGCAGGCACCAGAGGCUGACUAGAUUUGUCCUGCCUGUCUUAUCUCCUGCAUUAAGCUCCUCCUGUCAUUUGGGAGGUGACAGAAUUUGGCAGUGCCCAGCACACAAACAAAUGACCUAGAAAGAGUCCGCAGCAGAUUAUAUUACUGUGAAUCCUGUUUUGCUGUCUAUUUCUGUUUUAUCAGGUGUGGGCCAUUACACCUCAUUAUGAAAAUCAAAAGGACUGAAAACAAAAGAGACAUCUCAGCUUGUCACCAUGCUAUUCCUCCUUGCUGUAUGUAUGGUAACUGUGAGUCACACCCUGAACCACUGAUUGAGCACCUGGGUAAAGGACCAGGCCAGCCCUAGGAGCACAGCUGAAGGCAAUUCACCUGUGCAACUGGAAGAGGUGGAGCCUGGCUGCACCUCUCUUAGACCCCCCCAUUUAAGGGCUGACUGGCCCUGGGAGAAGGAUCUCUGGUUGGAGAUCGUUCCUUUGUGGAGUCUUUCUUGUGAGCCUAGAUCUUCAGAGAUGGGUGAGUACUUCUCCUUUAUAACACCAUUCUAUCUUUGCUGGUCCCUUUGCUGUUAUGCUUUUCUGUCACCUUUUCACUGUACUGACCUUUUUGAUUGUAAUAAUGUACAACUCUGUUCUGCUUUGUGGUACAUAGCCACUGGAGCUACAGCAGAAAAUAUUCUCCCAAAAUAUGCCACUUACAGGAAAGGGUGCUUAGGUGGGAAGCAGAUAAAAGAAUAGUAACCAGUUCCCAGGUGCCUUGUCAGCUAGUAGAAUACAAAGAUCUGAAUGACGUAUAUGGCUUCCUUGUAAAGAGCACUGUGAGACACAAAUCCAAUGAAUGUGUUCCUUAAAUCCAUCUCUCUUCCCCAGAAUACUGAGAAGAUCCAUACUAUGUCUGCUAGUAGGAGUUACUGGCAAGUGUUGAUAUCUCUCUUUUGGCUCUAAUUUGGGCCUCAGGUUGCUGCAGUGUGAGUACUUCUCCAAAUAAACACAUCUGUUUUAUACCUUAAUCAAGAAAUACGUACGUUGUUGUAUGGUUACUUUCAAGUUUAUGAGAGAAGUUACAUGCCUCAGGAUAUGUACUCCUUCAGUUGUUUUUUAAUGUUUAUUUACAGAGCUGCCAUCCUGGUUCCCCAUGUUGCUAAUGUCAGCCAGCUCUCCUGGAGUCCUUUGAGAAGGACAACAGAAAACUACGGCAGCAACUAGAAUAAAUAGGGAAUAUGAACUACGUUUCUUCCUUUUUCACUCCAAGAAGGAAGACAAAGAAGUAUGGUACACUACAUCUGUGACAUGGUAAAAACCUCAGGUGGGAAGCAGAGAUUCCAACGCAGCAUACCAGUUGCUUUGAUGGUAGCAUGGAUGGAAAAAUGUGUAUGAAAUGGACUAAGCUUCAAGUACCAAAAACUGGAAAAUGCAGGGCAGAAGAAGGUACAGCACAAUGUAGCUGCAUAGCUACACCUGUGGAAUGUGACUCCAGGAGAAACAACAGAAGCACUUUCUCUGGAUAGCAGGAAUGUUCAUUCAUAGACGUUAUGCGCCGUGACUGGG
ensembl:lncRNA